AUCGCUUCUCGGCCUUUUGGCUAAGAUCAAGUGUAGUAUCUGUUCUUACCAGUUUAACAAAAUCAGUGAAAGUAGCCAAAAAGUUUACAUAGUCCCACAUCCUAUUGUCUUAAGCCAAAAAGGCUGGUUCCACUUUGUAUCUACUUUGUAUCUGCUUUCCUGUCUUCUAGAGAAAGAAUAACAGAACUAAA